CAAUAGCGUAUAUUAAAGUUGUUGCAGUUAAAAAGCUCGUAGUUGGAUUUGUGGUGUACUUCGGCGGCCCGUCACUAUGUGAUGGAGCUUGCUGAAGUCGCCAUCCUUGGGUGGAUCCUGUGUGGCAUUAGGUUGUCGUGCAGGGGAUGCUCAUCGUUUACUGUGAAAAAAUUAGAGUGUUCAAAGCAGGCUUACGCCGUUGAAUAUAUUAGCAUGGAAUAAUAAGAUAGGACCUUGGUACUAUUUUGUUGGUUUGCGCACCGAGGUAAUGAUUAACAGGGACAGUUGGGGGUAUUCGUAUUCCAUUGUCAGAGGUGAAAUUCUUGGAUUUCUGGAAGACGAACUACUGCGAAAGCAUUUACCAAGGAUGUUUNCAUUAA
rnacentral:rRNA from 1 species